CCCUUAGAUGUUCUGGGCCGCACGCGCGCUACACUGAUGCAUUCAACGAGUCUAAAACCUGCUCUGAUAGGGGUGGGUAAUCUUUUGAAUGUGCAUCGUGAUUGGGAUAGAUGAUUGCAAUUUUUCAUCUUCAACGAGGAAUGCCUAGUAAACGCAAGUCAUCAGCUUGCAUUGAUUACGUCCCUGCCCUUUGUAUACACCGCCCGUCGCUCCUACCGAUUGAAUGAUCCGAUGAAUAUCAUGGAUUGAGGAUGCAAGCAGGUUCGCCUGUCUUCAUCUUCGAGAAGUGAAGUAAAUCUUAUCAUUUAGAGGAAGGAGAAGUCGUAACA
rnacentral:rRNA from 1 species